UGACCUCGGAUCAGGUAGGGAUACCCGCUGAACUUAAGCAUAUCAAUAAGCGGAGGAAAAGAAACCAACAGGGAUUGCCUCAGUAACGGCGAGUGAAGCGGCAAGAGCUCAAAUUUGAAAGCUGGCCCCUUCGGGGUCCGCGUUGUAAUUUGCAGAGGAUGCUUCGGGUGCAGCCCCCGUCUAAGUGCCCUGGAACGGGCCGUCAUAGAGGGUGAGAAUCCCGUCUGGGACGGGGUGUCUGCGUCCGUGUGAAGCUCCUUCGACGAGUCGAGUUGUUUGGGAAUGCAGCUCUAAAUGGGUGGUAAAUUUCAUCUAAAGCUAAAUACUGGCCGGAGACCGAUAGCGCACAAGUAGAGUGAUCGAAAGAUGAAAAGCACUUUGAAAAGAGAGUUAAACAGCACGUGAAAUUGUUGAAAGGGAAGCGUUUGCGACCAGACUCGCCCGCGGGGUUCAGCCGGCAUUCGUGCCGGUGUACUUCCCCGUGGGCGGGCCAGCGUCGGUUUGGGCGGCCGGUCAAAGGCCCUCGGAAUGUAUCACCUCUCGGGGUGUCUUAUAGCCGAGGGUGCAAUGCGGCCUGCCUGGACCGAGGAACGCGCUUCGGCUCGGACGCUGGCGUAAUGGUCGUAAAUGACC
rnacentral:rRNA from 1 species